UUUCUCUUUUUUUUUUCUCUCUCUCUCUCUCAUUUUUCUCUUUCUCUCUCUCUCUCUCUCACUUUUUCUUUCUGGCGGAGAAUGGCGUGGGUCUACGCCAUUGGAGGUGAUGACGUUGCCACUAUGGGGAGCUAGCCUGUGAUACUUAAAGCGACGGUGGUGUUUGAAUGCGGGGUUAUGUGGUUGGGGGUUUUUUUGCGGGGAAAGGGGUAUUUGGGGAUUGGGAUGGGUGGUUUUGGAGUGGCGGAGACGGUGAUGGUGGGAUCUAGGGGUGGUGGCAUUUGUUCUGGAGGGGGGUAUUUAGGGUUUGGACUUGGAAGGAGAAUGUUUGAGAAAAAGACAACGUCGAAGACGAAGAAGAAAAAGAGGAAGACGAAGUGGAAGAGAAAUAGAAGGGUAAGGAUAAGUCAUCCCCAUCGAAGAGCUUAUGGAUUUCGAUCAGUUAGUCGAUUGAGCUUCUCUUCUAUCAAUUACUCAGUUUUGAUGCUCAUUAUGUUGCUUUUGAUGAAAAUAGGAGGACCAGAAGUGAAAGCAAGCAGAGGAUGCUUUGAAGAUACUCAAGAAGCGUCUUAACCAUGCUAUUUGGUAUUUAAAUAACAUGAGAAAGAAAACUGGAAGAAAAGAACACUCUGCUUUGAAACCUUGCUUGUUGUUAUGCAAUUUUGAAUCUCUAUUAAUAUAUCUACUUGCAUUUCUGAUAUCUUGUAAGGCACCUCUCAAUAUUUUUAGUUUGGUAAUUACUAAUCCACCCCACCCCUUAAUAUUUUUUUCAUAUGCAGCAAGCAACCAUGUGCCUUGCAAAGUUGGACCAGCCACCUUUGACAUCAACAUUAAAGUCUAUGAAGCCAUUUUUUUAAUACAAUUGUCAAGCUUCUAGUUGCAAUGUGUGCUUGUGAGAUAACUCGAAUCAGUGCACCUGAAGCUCCCUACAAUGAUGAAAGUCUAAAGGUACGACAAUUCAAAGUAUGUGGAUUAACGACAUUGGCAUAGAUACGAGGUAAAUCCAGAUGUUAUUGGAACUUUAGAAGAAGAUGGACUAAAGUUUGUUGGGAAGGAUGAAAGUGGAAAAUGAAUGGAGGUGCACAAUUCCAUCCAGAAUUCAAAUCACGGCCAGCGAGACCAUCUGCUUUGUUUUUAGGUACUUGAAGGUAAAAUUUAUUGAAAUAAAUUUAUUUCAAAGCUUCCAACGUCUUGUUAGACUUUGUAAGUGUCACUUUUACUUCUAUUCCAUUGUAUAAAGAAGUUCAUAACACCUUUCUAUAUGUGUUCAUUUGAUUUAACAUUUUGUAAGGAGUGUAAAGGGAUUUUAAAAAAUAAUGUGAAAUAGAUAUAAGAUAUUCUUAUUUAAAUAAGGAUACCUUGACAACUCAUGUAUACAAUUUGAAACUUUUUUUUGAAGGUCACAUACUAAUUGAAACUUGAAAGAGAAAGCAAUAGAAGAAUUAAAAAUAAUAAUUAGAAAUGCCAAAUAUCAGUCUUAUUUUUAAUAUUCUUCAAGGAUUGCUCUUAUUUGGUCCCGAAGGAGAUGACACCCACGUUUCAACAUUAGUUGUGGGUACACACGGCUACGCAACUCCAUAAUAUGUCAUUACAGCAUAGUAAAAUUUGGGAUACUAUCCCUGCAAAUUUCUAGCACCUCGGCGCGAACGCGAUCAUGCCAAUUUUGAUUUGAGGCCAACAACAUCAGGUACCAUGCAGUUGCAACUACAGUUGUCUCAUAGCCUGCCAAGUAUAUAUUCUUGCAACUAUCAACAAUAAAACGGUAUAUGUAACAUCAACAUGUACAAAUGAAUUAAUUAUAAGUUGAAAAAUGGAACGCACAAUAUCUCAAUAGUUUUGGAGCUAGAAUCUUUCUUUGAUGGACCCAUGUAGUUCCAUUUGAAGUUAAAACACCCUGACCCAGCAAAGGCCCUAGUUGUUUCUGUUGAUAUGAAGGCUUCCCAAAGUCCAAGGAUAUGCAUGUGGUGAUAUCUCUCACUAUGUCAGAUUGGCUCACACACAGUAUUUGUCUGUUUCCAAGAGAAAACAUGAACACUUGACCUGCUUACACAAGAUAUUAGAAGCAUGUUGAUUCUCAAAAUCAAUCCAUGUAUUUGCAACAUCAGUGUACAAAUUAGUCCACUUGCAAGCAGAAGGUAAGAAAUCAAACAGUUCAAGACUAUAAUUUGGGAAAUUAAAGAAACACAUGCUACUUUAUAGGCUUGAUGAACAUAAUUUUGCAGGCAGGGAAGUAAAUACACUAAUACAAAGUUCUCUGGUCAUAUAUUACGUGCUUGUGAACUAAAUAUAUACAUCCAAGAAAACUAUAAGCAACGCAAUGCAUGUUUGUAUUUGCAUUACGAUUAGUUGACAUGGAUUCCAAAGUGUCAUUUUAUGAUAAGUAACAAUUUGUUACUUUUGACCGAAUGGCUAUUUAA